UUCGCCCUUAGAGUUUGAUCCUGGCUCAGAGCGAACGCUGGCGGCAGGCUUAACACAUGCAAGUCGAACGCAUCCUUCGGGAUGAGUGGCAGACGGGUGAGUAACACGUGGGAACGUGCCCUCCGGUCUGGGAUAACCCUGGGAAACUAGGGCUAAUACCGGAUACGUGCUUUGGCAGAAAGGUUUACUGCCGGAGGAUCGGCCCGCGUCUGAUUAGCUAGUUGGUGGGGUAACGGCCUACCAAGGCGACGAUCAGUAGCUGGUCUGAGAGGAUGAUCAGCCACACUGGGACUGAGACACGGCCCAGACUCCUACGGGAGGCAGCAGAAGGG
rnacentral:rRNA from 1 species